UACGUAGGGGGCAAGCGUUGUCCGGAUUUAUUGGGCGUAAAGAGCGCGCAGGCGGCUUGGCAAGUCGGGUGUGAAAUCCCGGGGCUCAACCCCGUGACUGCAUCCGAUACUGUCAGGCUAGAGGUAGGUAGGGGAGAUCGGAAUUCCUGGUGUAGCGGUGAAAUGCGCAGAUAUCAGGAGGAACACCGGUGGCGAAGGCGGAUCUCUGGGCCUUACCUGACGCUCAGGCGCGAAAGCUAGGGGAGCGAACAGG
rnacentral:rRNA from 1 species